rnacentral:rRNA from 1 species
ACAUGCUUACAACAUAGUGUUAAUGCACUAGAUCCCAUUAGAACUCUGCAGUUAAGCACACUCGGGCUAGAGUAGUACUAGGAUGGGUGACUGCCUGGGAAGUCCUAGAGUUUUACAUGCC